rnacentral:rRNA from 1 species
AUUGAACGCUGGCGGCAUGCUUUACACAUGCAAGUCGAACGGUAACAGGUUAAGCUGACGAGUGGCGAACGGGUGAGUAAUGCAUCGGAACGUGCCCGGUCGUGGGGGAUAACGCAGCGAAAGCUGCGCUAAUACCGCAUACGAUCUAAGGAUGAAAGCGGGGGACCGUAAGGCCUCGCGCGAUCGGAGCGGCCGAUGUCAGAUUAGGUAGUUGGUGGGGUAAAGGCCCACCAAGCCAACGAUCUGUAGCUGGUCUGAGAGGACGACCAGCCACACUGGGACUGAGACACGGCCCAGACUCCUAUGGGAGGCAGCAGUGGGGAAUUUUGGACAAUGGGCGAAAGCCUGAUCCAGCAAUGCCGCGUGCAGGAAGAAGGCCUUCGGGUUGUAAACUGCUUUUGUACGGAGCGAAAAGGUCUCCUCUAAUACAGGGGCUCAUGACGGUACCGUAAGAAUAAGCACCGGCUAACUACGUGCCAGCCGCCGCCGUAA